rnacentral:rRNA from 1 species
UCCUGGCGGGUGCCUAUACAUGCAAGUCGAGCGGACAGAUGGGAGCUUGCUCCCUGAUGUUAGCGGCGGACGGGUGAGUAACACGUGGGUAACCUGCCUGUAAGACUGGGAUAACUCCGGGAAACCGGGGCUAAUACCGGAUGGUUGUUUGAACCGCAUGGUUCAAACAUAAAAGGUGGCUUCGGCUACCACUUACAGAUGGACCCGCGGCGCAUUAGCUAGUUGGUGAGGUAACGGCUCACCAAGGCAACGAUGCGUAGCCGACCUGAGAGGGUGAUCGGCCACACUGGGACUGAGACACGGCCCAGACUCCUACGGGAGGCAGCAGUAGGGAAUCUUCCGCAAUGGACGAAAGUCUGACGGAGCAACGCCGCGUGAGUGAUGAAGGUUUUCGGAUCGUAAAGCUCUGUUGUUAGGGAAGAACAAGUACCGUUCGAAUAGGGCGGUACCUUGACGGUACCUAACCAGAAAGCCACGGCUAACUACGUGCCAGCAGCCGCGGUAAUACGUAGGUGGCAAGCGUUGUCCGGAAUUAUUGGGCGUAAAGGGCUCGCAGGCGGUUUCUUAAGUCUGAUGUGAAAGCCCCCGGCUCAACCGGGGAGGGUCAUUGGAAACUGGGGAACUUGAGUGCAGAAGAGGAGAGUGGAAUUCCACGUGUAGCGGUGAAAUGCGUAGAGAUGUGGAGGAACACCAGUGGCGAAGGCGACUCUCUGGUCUGUAACUGACGCUGAGGAGCGAAAGCGUGGGGAGCGAACAGGAUUAGAUACCCUGGUAGUCCACGCCGUAAACGAUGAGUGCUA